rnacentral:rRNA from 1 species
AACGAACGCUGGCGGCAUGCCUAACACAUGCAAGUCGAACGAGACCUUCGGGUUUAGUGGCGCACGGAUCCGUAACGCGUGGGAACCUGCCCUUAGGUUUGGCAUAACUCAGAGAAAUUUGAGCUAAUACCGGCUAAUGUCUUCGGACCAAAGAUUUGUCGCCUUUGGAUGGGCCCGCGUAGGAUUCGCUUGUUGGUGGGGUAAUGGCCUACCAAGGCGACGAUCCUUAGCUGGUAUGAGAGGAUGAUCAGCGACACUGGGACUGAGACACGGCCCAGACUCCUACGGGAGGCAGGAGUGGGGAAUACUGGACAAUGGGCGAAAGGCUGAUCCAGUAAUGCCGGGUGAGUGAUGAAGGCCUUAGGGUUGUAAAGCACGUUUACCAGGGAUGAUAAUGACAGUACCUGGAGAAUAAGCUCCGGCUAACUCCGUG